GCGCCGGAUGGUGGCUCGGUCCCGCAUGUUGUUGCCUCCCGCGCCAGCAACGCGAUCUGGGGAGAGAAGGCAGCGUUAGGCCCGGCCCGGCCCGGUACAGUAGGGUAAGGCCGGGCCCGUCCCGCCUAGCCCAAAAAGAGCCUGAGCCUCCAGCAACAGCUGCUCACUCAGCACAGAAAAGCUACUGGAUGCUGAGAAGCCCGUGCCACGCCCUGCUGCUGCAGCAGAGCCGAGUCCCACCAGGUGGGACAUAGCCAGCAGGAGAGGAGGCACCUUUCAAACAAGCAGAAGCCCACACACGCGUUUAUCUCGCUGCAUGCCUUGCCCUCCCUUGGCAAAAGCCUCCGGCAGCCUCCCCGAGACAUCUGAAGCUCGCAGUCUGAGGUGGGGCUGGGAGCCGGGCGGGCUCCGAACGCACCCCUUUGGGUGCCCUGGAGCCGCGGGUGUCAGGAUCCAGCCCCAGGGGGCCCCAUCCCAGCACCUUUGGAGCUCCUCACAUCAGAGGGGCUUCCCCAGGGCUGGCCUUGGCGAGCUGAGCACAGAUGGGGAGUGGAGCAAAGAGGUAAGAACCAGAGAGCAGCUCAACACCAGCCACCUGCACGUGGCCCCUGUGAAUGCAGAAGCCCACCAAGCACCCACAAGGUGGGUGAGGGCUGCAAGGACACUGCGAGCUGCAAGAGGAGCAGCAACGCCAAGCACCCCAUCCGCCUGCAAGCCCCCAGGCAUCUUCCUUGGCCGUGCCACACCGUUACGCCUACUUGAUCCAGAGAUGUGCCCACCUUGCACGUCCGUGGGCGCUCCCUGCACCCAGUGCCUGUGCCCUGCCUGCCCCGUGCUGCCUGCAGGGUCACCCCGCGCAGCUGGGGACCCCCAGGGUCACCCGUCACAGCUGGGGACCCCCAGGGUCACCCCGCACGCAGGGGUGGCUCGCCCGUGGGAUGCCCAUGCUGCAGAAUCGGCACAGAAAGGACAGUUUCCACCAAAAGCACAUUGUGCUCACUGCUAGGACAGUCUUGCUCUCAGUCAGCAAGGCAGAGAGAGCUACAUGCUACAAAAGAAGCUCUUUGAAGCCCUGGGUGGUGGAGAGUCCCAUGGGUGCCCGGCAUGGGCAUCGCGGCUGCCGCAGGGUGUCUCACCCAGCCAGCGGCCCCGUGCAGCACAUGCAGAGCCACUUCGUUCUGCCUAAUCCUUGAAGCAAUAAAAGAAGGCUGCAUUAAG